rnacentral:lncRNA from 1 species
GAAGGUACAGGACAUCCUGGAAGCUGAGCAGAGGGGCAUGGAGCCGUUCCAUCCCAGACGAAGCGGCAUCCCAUGCCUAUGGGCUGAGAAGCAAAUGCUCCCAGCCAAAUGUUCCAUCACAAUCAACAAAUACAAGAGGAUCCACUGCCAGAAGCUGGAGUUGAAUUUAUCUUUCCCUUAUUCUUUACCUCAGAUCUGCAACCUCCUGUCUGGCCCCCACAGGGUCCAGCCCUCCUUCUGUGAUUUCUUCAAACUGACACCCUGGAGGCUGUUGAUGAGAGGACACCCUCUGGUGAGGAGACACUGGGUUCACAGUCCAAAGGCAGAGUACCAGUCAUACUCAAUCUGAUCUCUCAGGGUAUCCCUUGGCCCCCUGCAGUCCUAAGCAUGGCCACAAGAUGGCAGGGCUGACCCAUACUUUCCCUGUGGGACACAGCAAAGUUUGUUCUUCCCUCAAGUGCCCUGGGCCUUCAGGGCCAGGAUACCCCCAUCCCUCACCAUGGCCCCUGGAGGCCAUACAGAGCCGCCUGAGAAGACAAUCCUCCCUCUCCACCAUUCUAUCGCUCUUUAAACAGGGGAGUCAACUUGGGGCCAAGUAUCCAGGGUCUCUACUUUUCUGUCCAGGACAGACUCACCUGUAUCUCCAUCUUCCUAUUCUAGAGAGGUGUUUGUGGGGAUUGAUUGGGUUCCUCUGACAGCUUUGCCGCGAGGCCGGGCUGGAGGGACCCUUGAUGUCACAGCUGCAGACAAAGGGAGCACACAGGGCCUGUGGACUUACCGUGUGCACGACGAUGCGGACACACCUAUGCAGUUUCGGGAGGCCCCCUCGGGAGUCGGCCUGGCGGGUGGGAACAUCUGGGGGCACCGCGGUUGGAAUGCGCAGUCUGGCCGCGAAUCCGGGGGCUUGCAGUUGCGCCCUGGCCUCGCCACCAACCCCCUGCAGCCCUCGCGACAGGGACACCGAGGCACGAAGCCUCCUGCCUGCACCUCUGUUGUGCUGCCUCUGCUCGUCCCUCCCUCUUCCCCCAGGUGUGUCUCCCGCAAUCUUAGGGAAG